AAUAAUUUUACCCUUCUUGAUGUGCAAAUUUCUCAAUCAUCAGAGAGAUCAUGAAAUCAAAGCGAACCCAAUACAACAAAAAUUCGUUGAUUGAACUGUUUUUCUUUACAAAGGUUAGUUUCGAGCUGCUCCAGAUUUCGUUUAGGAGCCACCAUUUCCAUCAGAUCCAGAUUCCGUUUAUGAAAAACAGCUGAGGAGAAUAUGGAUUCAGCGCUCGUCGGUUCACAUCCAUAUUUACUUAUCAUUGUCGGUUGAGAAGAAUAUUAGAUCAUUCUACAAGUGAAUCAAUACUUUUGGAAAUCUCGAGUUAUCCACUGAUGAGAAAGAAAGGUCAGUGGAUUUUUACAUGGUACAAUUGAGGAAAUGUUGAGCAAAGACAUACAAUAAGCGUGCAUUGUAACCGUGAGUUUUCCCAUUGCCUUUGUCAAUGCAAAAUUCUCAACGACCAGGUACGUUCAUUCUCUAUAACUUAGGUAGUUGUUAUUUCUUAACUGUCACAUGAAUAAGAGUUCCCUAAACACAUAUUGAUAAUCAGUUUUAAACUUCAUUGUAAUAUAUAAACUGAAAUCCUAUAAAAUGAAUAUUUCAAUGAUCUCACCAGAGUAAUUGGUGUACUGUUUCCAAGAAUGAACGAUUUUGACUUGAAGGAAACAAUGAACGAUUUUGACUUGAAUCAUCAAGAUCGAUGCUAAGUCUGUGAUUGGAAAAAUGGCCGCCAUUUGUAAAGAAUAAUGAGAAAAAUGAAGCAAAUAAAUUGUAGAAGUUAUGAUGAAUUCAGCCUAGAUGACUGACAUAUUUAUUGGUAGACGUAGAUUUGUCACUCGAUUAGGUUAGUUUUAGGGUAUAUUCUCUUUUAAUUAUGAAAUAUAUGGGAUUUGUUAGUUUUGGAUAGUAUAAUUAAUGAGUAUUUUGAUUUGGAAAUCAAUUAUGUGACUCAAAUUACGUUGCUUAAAUUUAGGAUCAUUUUGGUAAUCAACAUAUUUGUUAGCGAUUGAUAUCUUUGUGAUUGUUCGAUUUUCCUAAAUAUUUUAAUUGAUUCACGGAGAAGUUUGGUUUGAUAUGAUAAAGGGAAUAUUUGUGAUCGAGAAUCACGAUGAAGUCGAGAUUGGAAAUAACGUGGAAGGAUGUUUUAUUUUUGGGGGAAGUUAUAGACCUUUACAUUUAUUUACAUUUAUUUAUGGAGUUAUUUCUUUUUUUGUUUUGGGUUUAAUACUCGAUGACCCAUUUACUUUACUUCGGGUUAUUCUCACCCAUAUCCGAUUGUUUUAAUUUCGGGUAAUUUUUUUAAAUGACCCAACCCAAAAAUAAUUUUGUACUUCUUUUUUACUAAUAUAGAGAUUUUUCUUUGUA